rnacentral:rRNA from 1 species
GACAGAGGCCCCAAGCGUUAGGCGGAAUCACUGGGCUUAAAGCGUGUGUAGGCGGACGCCUAAGUGUCUUGUGAAAUCCCACGGCUCACCCGUGGAACUGCUGGGCAUACUGGGCGUCUUGGGCCAACUAGGGGCAGCCGGAACAAGCGGUGGAGCGGUGAAAUGCGUAGAUAUCGCUUGGAACGCCGAAGGUGAAAACAGGCUGCUGGGGUUGUGCCGACGCUGAGGCACGAAAGCGUGGGGAGCAAACAGG